rnacentral:rRNA from 1 species
GACGAACGCUGGCGGCGUGCUUAACACAUGCAAGUCGAACGGAAAGGCCCUGCUUUUGUGGGGUGCUCGAGUGGCGAACGGGUGAGUAACACGUGAGUAACCUGCCCUUGACUUUGGGAUAACUUCAGGAAACUGGGGCUAAUACCGGAUAGGAGCUCCUGCUGCAUGGUGGGGGUUGGAAAGUUUCGGCGGUUGGGGAUGGACUCGCGGCUUAUCAGCUUGUUGGUGGGGUAGUGGCUUACCAAGGCUUUGACAGGUAGCCGGCCUGAGAGGGUGACCGGCCACAUUGGGACUGAGAUACGGCCCAGACUCCUACGGGAGGCAGCAGUGGGGAAUAUUGCACAAUGGGCGGAAGCCUGAUGCAGCAACGCCGCGUGCGGGAUGACGGCCUUCGGGUUGUAAACCGCUUUCGCCUGUGACGAAGCGUGAGUGACGGUAAUGGGUAAAGAAGCACCGGCUAACUACGUGCCAGCAGCCGCGGUGAUACGUAGGGUGCGAGCGUUGUCCGGAUUUAUUGGGCGUAAAGGGCUCGUAGGUGGUUGAUCGCGUCGGAAGUGUAAUCUUGGGGCUUAACCCUGAGCGUGCUUUCGAUACGGGUUGACUUGAGGAAGGUAGGGGAGAAUGGAAUUCCUGGUGGAGCGGUGGAAUGCGCAGAUAUCAGGAGGAACACCAGUGGCGAAGGCGGUUCUCUGGGCCUUUCCUGACGCUGAGGAGCGAAAGCGUGGGGAGCGAACAGGCUUAGAUACCCUGGUAGUCCACGCUGUAAACGGUGGGUACUAGGUGUGGGGUCCAUUCCACGGGUUCCGUGCCGUAGCUAACGCUUUAAGUACCCCGCCUGGGGAGUACGGCCGCAAGGCUAAAACUCAAAGGAAUUGACGGGGCCCCGCACAAGCGGCGGAGCAUGCGGAUUAAUUCGAUGCAACGCGUAGAACCUUACCUGGGUUUGACAUGGAUCGGGAGUGCUCAGAGAUGGGUGUGCCUCUUUUGGGGUCGGUUCACAGGUGGUGCAUGGCUGUCGUCAGCUCGUGUCGUGAGAUGUUGGGUUAAGUCCCGCAACGAGCGCAACCCUUGUUCACUGUUGCCAGCACGUUAUGGUGGGGACUCAGUGGAGACCGCCGGGGUCAACUCGGAGGAAGGUGGGGAUGACGUCAAGUCAUCAUGCCCCUUAUGUCCAGGGCUUCACGCAUGCUACAAUGGCUGGUACAGAGAGUGGCGAGCCUGUGAGGGUGAGCGAAUCUCGGAAAGCCGGUCUCAGUUCGGAUUGGGGUCUGCAACUCGAUCUCAUGAAGUCGGAGUCGCUAGUAAUCGCAGAUCAGCAACGCUGCGGUGAAUAAGUUCCCGGG